GGCGGUUUGUCGCGUCUGCUGUGAAAGCCCGGGGCUUAACCCCGUGGUGUGCAGUGGGUACGGGCAGACUAGAGUGCAGUAGGGGAGACUGGAAUUCCUGGUGUAGCGGUGAAAUGCGCAGAUAUCAGGAGGAACACCGAUGGCGAAGGCAGGUCUCUGGGCUGUUACUGACGCUGAGGAGCGAAAGCAUGGGGAGCGAACAGGAUUAGAUACCCUGGUAGUCCAUGCCGUAAACGUUGGGCACUAGGUGUGGGGGACAUUCCACGUUUUCCGCGCCGUAGCUAACGCAUUAAGUGCCCCGCCUGGGGAGUACGGCCGCAAGGCUAAAACUCAAAGGAAUUGACGGGGGCCCGCACAAGCGGCGGAGCAUGCGGAUUAAUUCGAUGCAACGCGAAGAACCUUACCAAGGCUUGACAUACACCAGACCGGCCCAGAGAUGGGUUUUCCUCUUUGAGGUUGGUGUACAGGUGGUGCAUGGUUGUCGUCAGCUCGUAUCGUGAGAUGUUGGGUUAAGUCCCGCAACGAGCGCAACCCUCGUUCUAUGUUGCCAGCACGUGAUGGUGGGGACUCAUAGGAGACUGCCGGGGUCAACUCGGAGGAAGGUGGGGAUGACGUCAAAUCAUCAUGCCCCUUAUGUCUUGGGCUUCACGCAUGCUACAAUGGCCGGUACAAUGGGUUGCGAUACCGUGAGGUGGAGCUAAUCCCAAAAAGCUGGUCUCAGUUCGGAUCGUGGUCUGCAACUCGACCACGUGAAGUCGGAGUCGCUAGUAAUCGCAGAUCAGCAACGCUGCGGUGAAUACGU
rnacentral:rRNA from 1 species